rnacentral:rRNA from 1 species
UACGUAGGGUGCGAGCGUUGUCCGGAAUUAUUGGGCGUAAAGAGCUCGUAGGCGGUUUGUCGCGUCUGCCGUGAAAGUCCGGGGCUCAACUCCGGAUCUGCGGUGGGUACGGGCAGACUAGAGUGAUGUAGGGGAGACUGGAAUUCCUGGUGUAGCGGUGAAAUGCGCAGAUAUCAGGAGGAACACCGGUGGCGAAGGCAGGUCUCUGGGGCAUUAACUGACGCUGAGGAGCGAAAAGCAUGGGGGAGCGAACAGGG